CAGUCGCCGCGGGAAUACGAAGGGUGCAAGCGUUAAUCGGAAUUACUGGGCGUAAAGCGUGCGUAGGCGGUUUGUUAAGUCUGUUGUGAAAUCCCCGGGCUCAACCUGGGAAUGGCAAUGGAUACUGGCAAGCUAGAGUGUGUCAGAGGAUGGUGGAAUUCCCGGUGUAGCGGUGAAAUGCGUAGAGAUCGGGAGGAGCAUCAGUGGCGAAGGCGGCCAUCUGGGACAACACUGACGCUGAGGCACGAAAGCGUGGGGAGCAAACAGGAUUAGAUACCCCUGUAGUCCCUGUCUCUUAUAA
rnacentral:rRNA from 1 species